rnacentral:rRNA from 1 species
GAUGAACGCUGGCGGCGUGCCUAAUACAUGCAAGUCGAGCGAAUGGAUUAAGAGCUUGCUCUUAUGAAGUUAGCGGCGGACGGGUGAGUAACACGUGGGUAACCUGCCCAUAAGACUGGGAUAACUCCGGGAAACCGGGGCUAAUACCGGAUAACAUUUUGAACCGCAUGGUUCGAAAUUGAAAGGCGGCUUCGGCUGUCACUUAUGGCUGGACCCGCGUCGCAUUAGCUAGGUGGUGAGGUAACGGCUCACCAAGGCAACGAUGCGUAGCCGACCGGAGAGGGUGAUCGGCCACACUGGGACUGGGACACGGCCCAGACUCCUACGGGAGGCAGCAGUAGGGAUUCUUCCGCAAUGGACGAAAGUCUGACGGAGAAACGCCGCGUGAGUGAUGAAGGCUUUCGGGUCGUAAAACUCUGUUGUUAGGGAAGAACAAGUGCUAGUUGAAUAAGCUGGCACCUUGACGGUACCUAACCAGAAAGCCACGGCUAACUACGUGCCAGCAGCCGCGGUAA